GACGAACCUUGCAAACGUUAUUCGGAAUCACUGGGCUUAAAGGGUGCGUAGGCAGUGCAGAAAGUCGGGUGUGAAAUCCCUCAGCUCAACUGAGGAAUUGCGCCCGAAACUGCUGUGCUAGAGGAAUACAGAGGUGAGCGGAACUCAGGGUGGAGCGGUGAAAUGCGUUGAUAUCCUGGGGAACACCGGUGGCGAAAGCGGCUCACUGGGUAUUUUCUGACGCUGAGGCACGAAAGCUAGGGGAGCAAACGGG
rnacentral:rRNA from 1 species